UACGUAGGGCGCAAGCGUUGUCCGGAAUUAUUGGGCGUAAAGAGCUCGUAGGCGGCCAGUUGCGUCUGCUGUGAAAUCCCGGGGCUCAACCCCGGGCGUGCAGUGGAUACGGGCUGGCUAGAGGCAGGCAGGGGAGAACGGAAUUCCCGGUGUAGCGGUGAAAUGCGCAGAUAUCAGGAGGAACACCGGUGGCGAAGGCGGGUCUCUGGGCCGAUAUUGACGCUGAGGAGCGAAAGCGUGGGGAGCAAACAGG
rnacentral:rRNA from 1 species